GAAAUGCGAUAAGUAAUGUGAAUUGCAGAAUUCAGUGAAUCAUCGAAUCUUUGAACGCACCUUGCGCUCCUUGGUAUCCCUUGGAGCAUGCCUGUUUGAGUAUCAUGAAAUCUUCAAAGUAAAUCUUUUGUUAACUCAAUUGGUUUCUACUUUGGUAUUGGAGGUCUUUGCAGCUUCACACCUGCUCCUCUUUGUUCAUUAGCUGGAUCUCAGUGUUAUGCUUGGUUCCACUCGGCGUGAUAAGUUAUCUAUCGCUGAGGACACUGUAAAGGGUGGCCAAGGUAAAUGCAGAUGAACCGCUUCUAAUAGUCCAUUGACUUGGACAAUACUUUUAUGAUCUGAUCUCAAAUCAGGUAGGACUACCCGCUGAACUUAAGC
rnacentral:misc_RNA from 1 species